GACGAACGCUGGCGGCGUGCCUAAUACAUGCAAGUCGAACGAGAGCGACCGGUGCUUGCACUGGUCAAUCUAGUGGCGAACGGGUGAGUAACACGUGGGUAACCUGCCCAUCAGAGGGGGAUAACAUUCGGAAACGGAUGCUAAAACCGCAUAGGUCUUCGAACCGCAUGGUUUGAAGAGGAAAAGAGGCGCAAGCUUCUGCUGAUGGAUGGACCCGCGGUGCAUUAGCUAGUUGGUGAGGUAACGGCUCACCAAGGCCGUGAUGCAUAGCCGACCUGAGAGGGUGAUCGGCCACAUUGGGACUGAGACACGGCCCAAACUCCUACGGGAGGCAGCAGUAGGGAAUCUUCCGCAAUGGACGCAAGUCUGACGGAGCAACGCCGCGUGAGUGAAGAAGGUUUUCGGAUCGUAAAGCUCUGUUGUAAGUCAAGAACGAGUGUGAGAGUGGAAAGUUCACACUGUGACGGUAGCUUACCAGAAAGGGACGGCUAACUACGUGCCAGCAGCCGCGGUAAUACGUAGGUCCCGAGCGUUGUCCGGAUUUAUUGGGCGUAAAGCGAGCGCAGGCGGUUUGAUAAGUCUGAAGUUAAAGGCUGUGGCUCAACCAUAGUUCGCUUUGGAAACUGUCAAACUUGAGUGCAGAAGGGGAGAGUGGAAUUCCAUGUGUAGCGGUGAAAUGCGUAGAUAUAUGGAGGAACACCGGUGGCGAAAGCGGCUCUCUGGUCUGUAACUGACGCUGAGGCUCGAAAGCGUGGGGAGCGAACAGG
rnacentral:rRNA from 1 species